GACGUAGGGCGCGAGCGUUGUCCGGAUUUAUUGGGCGUAAAGAGCUCGUAGGCGGCUUGUCGCGUCGACUGUGAAAUCCCGCGGCUCAACCGCGGGUCUGCAGUCGAUACGGGCAGGCUAGAGUUCGGUAGGGGAGACUGGAAUUCCUGGUGUAGCGGUGAAAUGCGCAGAUAUCAGGAGGAACACCGAUGGCGAAGGCAGGUCUCUGGGCCGAUACUGACGCUGAGGAGCGAAAGCGUGGGGAGCAAAGCAGG
rnacentral:rRNA from 1 species